UGAAGAGCUUGGACAUGCAUGUUAUUAGUUUAUUCACUGCAUAAGAGGACACUUGCUAAGGACAGUGGGGAUUUCAUUAUAGGACUCAGAAUAAGAAUACAAAAAAUUUCCAGUGCUAUGUGGAGACAAAUCUGUAUCUCUGGCCAUGGAUUAUUCUUUAAAGCAGAGCAGUGCUAGCAGAGACUUUUUAUGUUAGCAAAGAAGAUCUAAGAAGCACAGUGUCUUGAAGCUAAUGCAAUAAUGAUUAGAGCCAGCUAUGAUGUGACAGAUAUUACUCAUAUUGAGUCAGGGGUACCUGUAAAUGCAAAUUACAUUGUGGAAGGCUUGAGAAGAUGCUGGCUUGGUGAGCCCAACAUUUUCAAAGCGGACUGGGGACUGCUGAUACCUAUAAACCAGCACAACAGCUGUUGCAAAGCAGAACUUCACAUCUAUUUAUUUGGGAAGACCUCAUCCAAUGGUGCCCUGGAGAAUUGUCUUGGCAGAGGAAGCACAGCUUCCAUCUGGAGACUUCUUGGUACAUAUAAACUACUUUGGUUGAUAUUAAACACAGGUCCCUCAGUAGACUGGAAGACUGUUUUCCAUUUCACUUAUCUUCUCUUUCAGUUGGAACUAACUACUUAAUUCUGAGUAUGUUAGCAAGGUUUUUCCCCUGUUUGCCUUUUGCUUUUGCCUAAUGCUAACACAGGAGUUGCCUUAUGUCAUCUCAUCACUUUAGUCCUUGUUUCCCUCCAUCCAGCGUAUUUUGUCUUCUUUACUUUUGAUUUAUCAUAUUACAGAGCAAGGAUUGACUGGACUGGUCCCUCACCUUCAUUCUCUAUGCAG